rnacentral:rRNA from 1 species
AGAGCGAACGCUGGCGGCAGGCCUAAUACAUGCAAGUCGAACGGACCCUUCGGGGUUAGUGGCGGACGGGUGAGUAACACGUGGGAACGUGCCCUUUGGUUCGGAACAACUCAGGGAAACUUGAGCUAAUACCGGAUGUGCCCUUCGGGGGAAAGAUUUAUCGCCAUUGGAGCGGCCCGCGUCUGAUUAGCUAGUUGGUGGGGUAAAGGCCCACCAAGGCUACGAUCAGUAGCUGGUCUGAGAGGAUGAUCAGCCACACUGGGACUGAGACACGGCCCAGACUCCUACGGGAGGCAGCAGUAGGGAAUCUUGCGCAAUGGGCGAAAGCCUGACGCAGCCAUGCCGCGUGAAUGAUGAAGGUCUUAGGAUUGUAAAAUUCUUUCAGCGGGGACGAUAAUGACGGUACCCGCAGAAGAAGCCCCGGCUAACUUCGCGCCAGCAGCCGC